UACGUAGGUGGCGAGCGUUGUCCGGAUUUACUGGGCGUAAAGGGAGCGUAGGCGGAUUUUUAAGUGAGAUGUGAAAUACUCGGGCUCAACUUGAGUGCUGCAUUUCAAACUGGAAGUCUAGAGUGCAGGAGAGGAGAAUGGAAUUCCUAGUGUAGCGGUGAAAUGCGUAGAGAUUAGGAAGAACACCAGUGGCGAAGGCGAUUCUCUGGACUGUAACUGACGCUGAGGCUCGAAAGCGUGGGGAGCAAACA
rnacentral:rRNA from 1 species